AGACAGCAGUCGCCGCGGGAAAACGAAGGGGGCUAGCGUUGCUCGGAAUUACUGGGCGUAAAGGGAGCGUAGGCGGACAUUUAAGUCAGGGGUGAAAUCCCAGAGCUCAACUCUGGAACUGCCUUUGAUACUGGGUGUCUUGAGUGUGAUAGAGGUAUGUGGAACUCCGAGUGUAGAGGUGAAAUUCGUAGAUAUUCGGAAGAACACCAGUGGCGAAGGCGACAUACUGGAUCAUUACUGACGCUGAGGCUCGAAAGCGUGGGGAGCAAACAGGAUUAGAUACCCCCGUAGUCCCUGUCUCUUAUAC
rnacentral:rRNA from 1 species